rnacentral:tRNA from 2 species
CACCAGGAAGCUGAAAAGGGUUCAGCGUUAGCCUUUUAAGUUAAAAAUUGGUGGCUCCCGACCGCCCCUUGUGA